rnacentral:rRNA from 1 species
AUCCGUUAAACUCCUGUCGGUACGGAAGAUCAGAUAAGUAGUACUGACCUAGGCUUGACGGUACUAGCAGAAGGCCACGGGCUACUACGUGCAGCAGCCGCGGUAAUACGUAGGUGGCAAGCGUGUCCGGAUUUUAUUGGGCGUAAAGCGCUCGCAGGCGGUCUUUUAAGUCUGAUGUGAAAGCCCACGGCUUAACCGUGGAGGGUCAUUGGAAACUGGAGGACUUGAGUGCAGAAGAGGAGAGUGGAAUUCCAUGUGUAGCGGUGAAAUGCGUAGAGAUAUGGAGGAACACCAGUGGCGAAGGCGACUCUCUGGUCUGUAACUGACGCUGAGGAGCGAAAGCGUGGGUAGCGAACAGGAUUAGAUACCCUGGUAGUCCACGCCGUAAACGAUGAGUGCUAGGUGUUAGGGGGUUUCCGCCCCUUAGUGCUGAAGUUAACGCAUUAAGCACUCCGCCUGGGGAGUACGGCCGCAAGGCUGAAACUCAAAAGAAUUGACGGGGACCCGCACAAGCGGUGGAGCAUGUGGUUUAAUUCGAAGCAACGCGAAGAACCUUACCAGGUCUUGACAUCCUUUCGACCUCCCUAGAGAUAGGGAUUUCCCUUCGGGGACGAAAGUGACAGGUGGUGCAUGGUUGUCGUCAGCUCGUGUCGUGAGAUGUUGGGUUAAGUCCCGCAACGAGCGCAACCCUUGAUCUUAGUUGCCAGCAUUAAGUUGGGCACUCUAAGGUGACUGCCGGUGACAAACCGGAGGAAGGUGGGGAUGACGUCAAAUCAUCAUGCCCCUUAUGACCUGGGCUACACACGUGCUACAAUGGAUGGUACAAAGGGCAGCRAAACCGUGAGGUCAAGCAAAUCCCAUAAAACCAUUCUCAGUUCGGAUUGUAGGCUGCAACUCGCCUACAUGAAGCCGGAAUCGCUAGUAAUCGCGGAUCAGAAUGCCGCGGUGAAUACGUUCCCGGGUCUUGUACACACCGCCCGUCACACCASGAGAGUUGGUAACACCCGAAGUCGGUGAGGUAACCUUUUGGAGCCAGCCGCCGAAGGGACCUGUUCUCGUUU